GUGGAAGGCUCCGGGCUUUCCCACCGGCCGCAGGGCCGGCUCUAGUCUGGAGAGAAGAAACUGCGCCUCGGGGGCCCAGCUGCGGGACACGAGCGGCUCCUGGUCUAGGCCGCACUCUGCAGACGCAGGGAGAACGCACACGUUGAGAAGGCGUCCAAGAGGGAAAUUCGUUUUGUUUCGUUUCGUUUUGUUUUUCCCACCCCGGUCUGGGCCAGGAAGGAGGCCGAGAAUCUUUCGGCACCAUAGACACUUCACCUGCAUCUCCCUGGGGCGUGGGCAGGGCAGGAAGGAGGACCACGGGCACCCCAUGAAGACAGUGCAGAAGAAAGAGGGGAACGGGUUUUUUUUUUUUUUUUUUUUUUAUAGGGUCGACUCAUCACAGACCCAUAGUUUCUGGGGCAGAGAACAUCCCUUUCCGCUCUCUAAGCCUCAGUUUCAUCUGUAAAAUACGGAUCCCUGCAGUGCAGGGGUGGGGGCUUGUGUGCAUUGAAGGGGACUCCCUGGAAAACCCCUGGGGUCUGAUAAUACUUGGCAGUCUGGGGAGGCAGGAAGCCAGUUCCCAGUAGUAAAAUCUAGCCCCUCUGGAGGCUCAGGGUUCUCCAAGUCCAGCAGAUCCAGCGUUGGAGUUGGAGGGACUAAGUGAUUAGGAACAAAAAUUCAGACCCCUCAGGGAAUUAGCAAAGCUGCUUCUAAGCAAAUUCUCCUACCAUCCCCACUUUUAACAGGUAAUUAGGAGGAAGUUGGGGUUAGUUUCAGGAAGAGAAGAAUUUCAAUGUGGGGGAGGAAAGCUCUCAAUCUGCUAAAUUCAGAGUCAAAUGUAGGUGUAGGAAGGCCGAUCCUCCCAGUGUCACUGAUCCAAGUCAGGCUGCUAAGGAACUAGGCUGUCGCUUUUCAAUACAGAAUCUGCUGCACAUGUGCUAGGAGCCAAAAAGAAGGGGUGGGGGGGGAGGGGUUGUGUGCAAGGAGCCCUGGGGGAAGUUUGCACUAUCUCAGACUCUCCCUGAGAAAGGGGUAGGUAAUAAGUUCAUGGAAAUGAGGUUCCUUCAUUUCACCUUAUUGUCUUCUGGUUUGUUGUGACAUAUGGGAGGUCCUGGCCCCUCACAAUUCGGCCCACUGGGAGAACAUUCUCUGCCUACCCAGCUCCCCUCAGCCAAGAUAAUGAAGUGUUGAGAGUAAAUGUCCCUGGAGAACACGCUCUUUGUCUCUGUCUCUCACUUGCUGUCCUGAUGGGAGCAGUCAAGUGUGAUGAAGAUCAGUUUCUGUGUUGAGCUGGGAAAACCCAUUAAAAAACCAGCCAACACUUCCCUUUUAACCACAGAACUUGGAUUUGUAGUUCCAACUGCUCUGUGCCCAGUCUGACACUCGAGCUCCUUUCUCUCUCAAAAUCCAGGUGGCGGCAAACCCGUUCUUCCUCCUACCCCAAGCAAACUAUGUGGACAUGCAGGAAGUUUCACAAAGUAGAGGGGAAACUUCCUAUGAGUGUCCAGAUAGUCUUGCAGGUGAUGUAUUUCUACCCAGCAAUUUCCGGUAACCCCCUGCCCAGAUGGACCUUGUGUAUGCCACCUAGUGCGAUAUGAGCGCUCACAAAGUAACUGCAACUACAGGUCUGUGAACAGAUCCAAUACCUACUCCUUCAUAUGGAAAUUUUAAAAGAAAAGUGUAACCAUCCCAGCAGAUAGUCCUACAGGAUGUGAGGCAAAAAUGCUGGCUAAAUGAAUUGUCUCAUGAAAUCCUUUGGUUAAACUUCCCCCAAACAGAAGAAACAAGAGUACAGUGGAAAUACUCUUUGUUUAUGCUUCACCUAGGAUAAGGUGGCAAUGGACUGAUAAAGCAGCCCCAUUUUAAAGAUGGGAAAAUAAGACAGGACAUUUUAAGGAGUUGUUAAUGUAAAGGCUGAGUGGUUAUUUCUGGAUGAUGCCAUAAAGGUAAUUUUUGUUUCCUUAUUUGUACUUCUCAGUUUUCCGAGUUGUCAGCAAGGAAGUUGUGGAAUACCUUUCCUAAACACAAAGGGUAUAUUCUAUGUGAUUCCAUUUAUACGAAGUUAACAAGCAGGAAGAAUUAAUCCAUUGGGAUUGAAGUUAAAAUCGAUGUUACUUCUGGGUAUUCGUAGAGUUGGAUGGGUCAUGAGGGAGCUUUCUGGUGUGCUAGAAAAGUCCUAUAUCGCGAUUGGGAUGGUGGGUACAUCAUCAGGCUAUACAUUUAGGGUUUGUGCAUGUUGCUAUAAGUUAUAACUUA